ACAACAACUCAACAACAACAACAACAAGGGAGGGAUAUUUCAUUAUUUUGUUUUAAUUGAUUGAAAUUUUGUUUUAAAGUCAUCAUAUGUUUUCACGAUGCUUUGCAACAUGUAACUUAUUAAUGCCUUUGCCUUUUAUAUUCCUGUAAGAGUGACAAAAGAUCUAGGCAGAAGACUGCAAGAGGACCACAGCAGAUUUCUGGAGGACUCCACAGAGGAUAAAACAUCCCAACAGAUGAUGAUGAGGAUGACCACAGCUCCAGGAAGAAGACCUCCAGAGGACCACAGCUAAAGACAGCAACCCAACACACAACAUACAACAUAGAAGAUGAUCUCUGCCGUCCCGCUUAACUCUAAUCUGCCUGCACCCCUUCAUCGUUUUUGUGUGACUUUGUCUCCCACACAUUUUGAGGUUAAAGGUCAUAGGUUGCUGUAUAAAUAAAUACUUGAAAAGGAA